GCCUUCACCUUGCAGUUUGUGAAAAAAAACCGCGUCUGACUCGGAACGUCUGCGAGAGAUGUAUAAAUGUAAUGGAUGUUUUGACAGGAAUGCACUAAGCUCAAACACGAGAACAUGAGAAAGAUGAAAAGUACCUUCAAAAACAAGCCCUCCAACUUCGACCCCUCCUUCAAUGCCAACGAAAUUUGGGGCGUCUUGGAACACGUCCAGAAUUUUCUGUGAUAUGGCAUCAACUGGGGGUGGAGCCGGACCACCACCGGUCUUCAUACGAUGUGUUUUCUGGCUGACGAUUUCCCCCUUCGCUUUGGAACAAGCCUUUCUAUACUUCUCCUUGAUUUGAUCGACUGUUCUCACAAUCUCACCCCUUGAAUUUACCGCUUCCGUAAUCUCACGCCAGGCAGCAGCCUUUUUGACAUUUGUUACUUGGUUUGUAUGUUUCGAUUUUAUAAGCUCAAUAUGUUUUUCCACCUGUUCCACCAAAAAUAAAGUUUCAUCAGCUGAAAAA